GACGAACGCUGGCGGCGUGCUUAACACAUGCAAGUCGAACGGAAAGGCCCUGCUUUUGUGGGGUGCUCGAGUGGCGAACGGGUGAGUAACACGUGUGUAACCUGCCCUUGACUUUGGGAUAACUUCUGGAAACUGGGGCUAAUACCGGAUAUGAGCUCCUGCUGCAUGGUGGGGGUUGGUAAGUUUCGGCCGUUGGGGAUGGUCUCGCUGCUUAUCAGCUUCAUGGUGAGGUAGUGGCUUACCAAGGCUUUGACGGGUAGCCGGCCUGAGAGGGUGACCGGCCACAUUGGGACUGAGAGACGGCCCAGACUCCUACGGGAGGCAGCAGUGGGGAAUAUUGCACAAUGGGCGGAAGCCAGAUGCAGCAAUGCCGCGUGCGGGAUGAAGGCCUUCGGGUUGUAAACCACUUUCGCCGGUGACGAAGAGUGAGUGACGGUAAUGGGUAAAGAAGCAACGGCUAACUACGUG
rnacentral:rRNA from 1 species